UCUUGUCACCACAGUCAGUUGUGGCAGAAAGGCGACACAACAAUUCGAUUGGUCUUCUCUUGUGAGAGAUCUUAUUUACAAGACUUAAAAGCAGGGGAGUGGUGGAAAGAUACAACCUGGGCUUAUAAAGUAAAGCCUUUUUACAAGCUAGGACAACAAGACAAUGAAAGGGCUGUCGAAUAUUUUAAAAUCUUCUCUGAUAUUUUGUUUAAUUCGCGGAUGGCAAGGAAUCGACGCAGAAUGUGACGUGCCAGAGGUUCCUCAUUCAAGUCGAACUCCAACUACUGCCCGGGUCAACAGUCAAGCGACCGUUACCUUCACGUGUGCAACCCUUUCAUAUAUCCAUGUAUAUGGUUCUCUUACAAUCACGUGUACUGACAGAGAUGUGUUUGACAAGGAACCACCAAUAU